GCUCCCCAUUCUGCACCGACCUGUGAAUUCCAAUCCCCUUUGUUGUCCUUCUACAUGAUGUAGAUACACUCACAACAACAGUAGUUUCUGAAUGUUCAUGAUCAACAACUACUCUGAAACGAAGGAUCCCCAUCAGCAGAUUGCACUCCUAACAGCGUUCCUGGCAAAGGUGAAUAAGGUAUUUGGCCUUAAGUCAAAAAGCAAUACUCUGGUGAUAUUUUAGAACAGUUGAAUCUUUGUUGAGGAGAUUGGUUAAGCAAGCGGAGUCUGGUGAUACUUCUGGUGAUAUUUAGUCUUUCUUUCCCUGUUUUUCAAAGCCUCUGUCAGUUGACACAAACUAGGUUACCCAUCCAUUUUAAAAACAUCAACAUUGAUCGAAUAUUGUA